rnacentral:rRNA from 1 species
AAAGAUUAAGCCAUGCAUGUCUAAGUAUAAGCAACUAUACGGUGAAACUGCGAAUGGCUCAUUAAAUCAGUUAUCGUUUAUUUGAUAGUACCUUACUACAUGGAUAACCGUGGUAAUUCUAGAGCUAAUACAUGCUAAAAACCUCGACUUCGGAAGGGGUGUAUUUAUUAGAUAAAAAACCAAUGCCCUUCGGGGCUCCUUGGUGAAUCAUAAUAACUUAACGAAUCGCAUGGCCUUGCGCCGGCGAUGGUUCAUUCAAAUUUCUGCCCUAUCAACUUUCGAUGGUAGGAUAGUGGCCUACCAUGGUAUCAACGGGUAACGGGGAAUUAGGGUUCGACUCCGGAGAGGGAGCCUGAGAAACGGCUACCACAUCCAAGGAAGGCAGCAGGCGCGCAAAUUACCCAAUCCCGACACGGGGAGGUAGUGACAAUAAAUACUGAUACAGGGCUCUUUUGGGUCUUGUAAUUGGAAUGAGUACAAUUUAAAUCCCUUAACGAGGAACAAUUGGAGGGCAAGUCUGGUGCCAGCAGCCGCGGUAAUUCCAGCUCCAAUAGCGUAUAUUAAAGUUGUUGCAGUUAAAAAGCUCGUAGUUGAACCUUGGGCCUGGCUGGCCGGUCCGCCUCACCGCGUGUACUGGUCCGGCCGGGCCUUUCCUUCUGGGGAACCUCAUGCCCUUCACUGGGCGUGUUGGGGAACCAGGACUUUUACUUUGAAAAAAUUAGAGUGUUCAAAGCAGGCCUUUGCUCGAAUACAUUAGCAUGGAAUAAUAGAAUAGGACGUGUGGUUCUAUUUUGUUGGUUUCUAGGACCGCCGUAAUGAUUAAUAGGGAUAGUCGGGGGCAUCAGUAUUCAAUCGUCAGAGGUGAAAUUCUUGGAUUGAUUGAAGACUAACUACUGCGAAAGCAUUUGCCAAGGAUGUUUUCAUUAAUCAGUGAACGAAAGUUAGGGGAUCGAAGACGAUCAGAUACCGUCGUAGUCUUAACCAUAAACUAUGCCGACUAGGGAUCGGACGGUGUUAGUAUUUUGACCCGUUCGGCACCUUACGAGAAAUCAAAGUUUUUGGGUUCUGGGGGGAGUAUGGUCGCAAGGCUGA